CAGAGCUAUCGAGAGAGAGAGUUGCGACACUUCCAUUGGACUCCGUUGUAGCGCCUACUUCCGGGGUAUGGAGCCUCGAAUAGUUCCAAACAACCAUUUUACGGCGUAGGAGACCGUUCAUUUCCAUUGCUGGCCGCCGAGUAACUUCUGAGAAAUUAGUGUCACUGCUGAUGCUGUUGGUGGAUGUUGUUGGUGGCUGCUGGUGGUGGCGGCUGACGACGUUUGCUGAUGGUGGUGGCUGGUGCUGGCGUUGGCUGCUGGUGGUGGCUGCUGGUAGAUGCUGCUUGUUGUGACUGCUGGAAUAAGAGGAGGCUGGGGGCUGCGGACGGUGGGCCAGGAAUGGAGAGGCCAAAUACAUCCAUGGCAAUCAGUAAGCCGGUUGGCAGUGGCCUAGAUGUUAUGACCUCAGCUCAUGGCAUGAGGGAAGGUUGCUGUCCAGACCCAUGGCCUCUCUUUCCAGCUGUGCCACUACAUUGGAGGACUGCAUGAGGGAAUCACUCGUCUGAGAACGGAACAGCUGCUCCACGUUCUGCAGGAGCGUGAACACCUCAUCGGAUGGACGGUAUAAUGCUCCCCUUUUAAAUUCUUUUAAUUCAAGUAAUACAGCUCUCUCACUUGCGGUGUUGGUGACUUUUUCCACCAGUGCACACUUGCAUUCCUCACAGAGUGAGAAGCCGAUAACCCUCUUCACUAUGUAUCCUGCCAGGUGGUAGAGGACACAGGACUCGGUCUUUGUCAUGUCAGGUGGUGAUGGGUCUACCAGCUGCUCCACUCUC